rnacentral:lncRNA from 1 species
ACCCACGAGAAGCUGAUCCCAUGACUAAAGUGCAGGCCGAACUAGAUGAGACCAAAAUCAUUCUGGGGACCAAGCUGGGAACCAGUGGAACCCUCAAGUCUCCCUUCCUCAUGGCUACUGCCUGUCUGACCAUUUACUGGGUUCCUAGGGUUUGGCUUCUGAAGACCUGGAUUCCCACCCUGGUGCCUUUGUUAGGGUUUCGGGUGCCUCCACACCCCACAGGUGCCUCCCCUUGCAGCGUUUGCAUUGAAGGUGAACAGAUUGAAGCACCGUGCACUGACCACAGGGCAGCUUCUGGAAUAUGGGCCCAGGGUUGUCACAUAGGCCCCUUUGAAAAGAGCCAGAACCCUGCAUUUUGAGCUGAAAUCUCCUGAUUUGUAACUGUUGCUUCAACUCUUUUUUUUUAAAUUUUUGCAUACAAGUGGAAUGUAAGCAGCUAUCUGUUUUUCUCAGGUUUUUCUCUUACAGCCUUUGCCUCUAAGUGGUCCCCUUGCCUCCUGCUCACCUCCAGUCUGUCCACCAGAGAGUAGUCAUUGAUCUGCACAACUUAGAACCCUUCAGCAGCUCUCAGAUCCGCCCCAGGAUAAAGUGCAAACUAACUCACAGUCUCCUGACUGGGCCCUGUUCUCUCUUAUACCCUUUCUUGCCCAGCUCACACACAGGCGCCUGAAGGUUGGGCCUUUCUGACCAGAUGUCACAGUUUUGUCACUGCUUGUUUACAUGUCUCCCUGACCAGCGUAUGAGCACUGGGACAUCUUUCCAUCCUGCUCAUGAUACAGUGCCUAGUUUAUACCAUGCUCAGCAGUUGAUAGAUACCUGGAGUGGAUUGAAACCCACAUACAAAGCUUUACCAUUUACACAGGCAUAGCUUUAGUGUGUACAUCAGCGUCUCCUGGGGUUGGAGUUGUUGGCCUGCGAUGGAGCCUGGGAACCUGCAUUUUAUAAAAAGCAUCCCAGGGGCUUCAAACACAGGUGUGCUGACUGCACUCCAAAUAACGUGGCUUUGGAAUGAACGAUAGAUGUGAAAGUCUCAUGGUAUCUGUGUCUUUUGAAACCUUGUGAGCUUUCUUACCACCUAGGUGGCAUUUCUCCGUUUUCUCCUCAAGCCAUCUCUUUCUGUUGCUCAAGUCCUAGUCUGAGUACCAUGACACCUGGGACACCCGCUGUUUCUCCUCUCCCCACGGUGGGGAGUGGAUGAGUCCUAUUCACCCAGCCUCAUCUAGCUGCAGUUGUAAAAUCUAGAUGAUUGGUGUGCAUAUCUGAAUCAGUUAACUUUCUGUGUUAAAAAUUUGAGUCGCUCAGCUGUGUGUAGGGAUGAAGGACAUUCUUGCUGGCUCCUUGUUCUAUGGCGCUUCAUGUGUGCAUCUAGCUGCUGCAGCAGUGGCCAUCUGAGGAGAGAAGCGAGCUGCUGCUUCCUGAGGGCCCUGGCAGCAGAGCUGCUGGCUCUUGUGAGGUCUCCAUCUCUAGACCCCUUCCCAUGGGGUCAGUGUUUUCAUUUCCUAAGUCAGAGUUUGUAGUGAUGACAUUUAGGACAUAGCCCAUUUAGAAGGCAGGACAUGUUCUGUCAUAGUGCUGUCUGGUAUAUAUUUGGGGCAUGUGUGUAACUUAGAAUUUUCUAGGAGCCAUAUUUUAAAAUGAUAAAAGGAAAAUAGGUAGAAUUUAAUUUAAUUAUAUAUUUUACUUAACGCAGUAUAUCCAAAUACAAUUUUUCCAACAUGUAAUCGGUAUAAAACUUGUUUUUUUUUCAGUAUAAAACUUACUAAUGAAGCAUGUGUGAGUUUGCAUCUGAAAUCUGGUGUGUCUGUACUCAGAGCGCUGCUCAGUUUGGACUUGCCUCACAUCAAGUGCUCAAUAGCCAUUUCCCACCGCCUUUUGUUUCCUGUGGCUGCUGUCAACAGAAACCCUCAAAUAUUUGCUUUUAACAGAUAGCUCUGUGGGCCUGGCUGGUGUCUUUUGGGGCUCUGAGUGUCUGUCCCAGGCCUCUCUCCAGCCUCUGGUGGCUGCUGGCCAUCCUUGGCAUUCCUUGGAUUAGAGGUGCAUCACUUCAGGCUCUGCCUCUGCCGUCACGUGACCUUCUGUGUGUGUGUUUCCGUUUCUUACCAGGACAUCAGUCAUGGAAUUAGAUGCCACCCUAAUCCAGUAUUACCUCUUCCUAACUAGUUACAUCUGCCAAGACCCUAUUUCUAAAUAUGGUCACAUUCAGAGAUUCUGGGGAUGUUAAUUUCUGGGAUGCGGUUGGGGUUGGGGGGUGCGGUGUGGGUCACUCUCCAACCCAGUACAAUCAUAUAGUGCCCAGCUACUCUUUUUUCCAAAGCUCCAUGCACACGCACAUGUGCGUGCACACACACACACACACACAAAUGUAUAUAUAAAUGUGUGUGUAUAUAUAUAUAUGAGUUUUCCUGGAGUGCUGGUUAUCUAAGCCUGUGCUGGGGACAGCUUUUUGGGAAGUCUGCUACAUCCCAGUUAGAUCUUCUAGAUUUCACGGGAAUGUCACCAGGUUCUGUUCCAUCCACUUGGACAGUAACUAUUCUUGGACCGAGUCUCGACACCUAGAGGUGAAGUUUGUGUGUGUUGGAGAGGAACCCAGGUAAGGCACUUUCCCCCAUGACUGAAAUAUGAGGGGCUCAUGUCAGGGCACGUACUGAACAGAGCUGGAUUCUCUUUUCUUUUUUGUCCAGCACAACACCAUGGAGUCUCUGUUAGAGCGAGGUGAGAAGCUAGAUGACUUGGUGUCCAAAUCCGAGGUGCUGGGAACACAGUCUAAAGCCUUCUAUAAAACUGCCCGGAAACAAAACUCAUGCUGUGCCAUCAUGUGAUGCAGCCUGCCAGAGGCCCAAUGCUGGAAUGGCACCAUCAUUCACAUCAGAACUGCAGCCCCUGGAAAAGAAGAGACAGCCAUAGACGAGGAGCCAGAGUGGGGGCAGACUGGCCAUUUUUAUUUUGAAGUUCCUGCGAGAAAUGGAUGGUGGAAGGGUGGCGAAUGUUCAAAUUCAUAUGUGUGGUAGUGAUUCUUGGAAAGAAUUUGAGGUCCCCAAAGGUGUAUUUUUGGGCAAAUGAAACCAUAAACUCCGACUGGCUUCUGUAGAUGCCAAAGGGCUCUUUUUCAGCUAACCCUGGGAAGGCUCUGUGGGAGGGAGGUCGGAGCCAGCUGUUUCUCGAUCUUUGGUAUAUCUUUGGAUCUUAUUUGUACAUUAAUGAUAUUAACACUCCAGUGGGGGGUGGGGAGUCCCUGAUGCUAGGGCUGGGGUGGGUGGAGUUUGAAGACUCUUGGGAAAGCCUCUCCUGGGGCCACUGUUGGGGGUGGGAGUGAGCCCACCACAGAGGCCACAGGCAGGCCCCCACUUCAGGCCCAAGGCCUGGGGCGGGGGGAACAGUCACUGGGUCUCAGAUUCUGAGACUGUUGUUUAGCUUACCUUUCUGCUAGGAUUGGCUUCCCGCAGAGGGCAGGGCCCAUCCUAAGCAGCUUCCAAGUCCCACAAAGGUGGCUUGUGGGAGGAUUUGGAAGGAGCUGCAUUGUGGGCGGGGAGUGUGUGGGUUGGGUUCGUACCAGCAAGUAGACUAGGAACUGAGCCCAGGAAAGGGGGAUGUUUUCCUGGUGUUUGGAUGGUCAGCUGGGAGUGUCCAUCAUCAGGGGAAGAUCAAACACAGGUGCACUCAGCUGCCCAGGGCCUCUGGGACACUUGCCUUGACUUGCAACUUGCCUUGAACAUCACGAUCAAAGCAGCAGGUGCUGUGGUCUCUCAAAAUUGAUUUUUAUUUGACUCUGUGGCUCUAAGACUGCCUUGAACCGCCUGAGGCCUAUGCAUCUGAACAAGUGGGUCUCUCCCUUGAGCACCAGGAGUGGGUGCCAGCCGGCCCCGAGGAUUCCCAGCACCCCACCUAUGGUCUUGCCAGCAUAGGCUUGCUAGUUCCUUCUUGGUCAGAGGUAGCUGCAGAGGGGGGAGGCCAAGGGUUUGGUCUAAGCUGUGCCCUGCCACCUGGCAGGAGGCCCACUCACUGCCCAAGUCAUGGCAACAGGCUGGAGCAGCCCAGGAGAUGGGCCUAAAAUGUUCUGGAUCCCUUGGGUCCUAGUGUUAUGUUCCAGUCUGCCCACCUGUGCUCAGGAUGCAGCCCUGGGAUCCAGCACCCAUGGAAGCUUCUGCUGGGAUGGUGUCACCUAUGGGUUUUGAACCAGUGUGGUAUGGUCCUUGGGAGCUCUGCUCUGAGCUUGCCACACUGCUGAGAGCACCCACUGUCCUGACCAGAGUCUCAGUGGUCCUGACCCCCAAUGUGGGCAGGGGCUGGGCAGGAGGGUGGGGUCUGCUGUGGGUUCAGAGGACUCCACCUCCUGGCUGGUUUACCUGCUGCUGCCCAUUUUCUCUGGGUACUGCUGGCCAGAGGACUUUAGCCUACCCCUGAAGAGCCUGUCCAUGUCAUUUUCCUACUGCCAUAGAUACCCUAAGCCCAGGGCCCCUUGAGGCCCAGACUCAGCCUGCCCACUGGUGCCGGAGACGGAGUGGAGUGGGCCUGGAUCCGAGGGAUGCUACCUCUCCCUUUCCCACUUGAGGACCCUGGGGAGAGAUGGGGGCGGGGAAAAUGGAGGUAUGAAUUUGGGGUAAGAGGAAGUGAGAUCUCCGCUUGCAGGUCAGCCCCUGCCUUGCAGGGCGGGCUGGCUUGACUCAGGCCCUGUGAGAUAGAGGGCCCAGCCCAGCCCCACCCACAGAUCCCCUGCUCCUGUUGUGUUCUGUUGUAAAUCAUUUGGCGAGACUGUAUUUUAGUAACUGCUGCCUAACUUCCCUGUGUUCUAUUUGAGAGGCGCCUGUCUGGAUAAAGUUGUCUUGAAAUUU